AGAAGAAGAAAUAGGCUGCAGGCCCUGUUGCAGAGAGUUUCAGGAAUGUGACACUGCCACAACUGAAAAAAAAAAACUUCUGGAAGAAAGCGGCAUUGUUGCAGUGGAAAACACUAGGAGUUGCUGAGUCUUGCAGCAAAAGCUGUACAAGUUUAUCCAGUUUUGAGUGUGACGAUGAAGACUUGGAGAGGAAGCCGCGGGAGGUGACUACAGCGGACAGCACUGUUUGCCAUCUCAACAGGAGAGCUUUGGUGUGAUCACGGGACUCGAAACGGUUACCACAACUUUGUAUUGGCAGUAAACAUGUUGCAGCUGUUGGUGAAUGAAGAAGUUCUCUCUGAACAAGAGGAGCUGAAUUUGAGUGUUGACCAUAAGGACAAUCAAGAGGAACCGCAGAAACUCUGGACAAGUCAGGAGGGACAGUAUUUUCAUAUGCUGGAGGAAGUUAACACUAAAUUACCUUUCACUGUUGUACCUGUGAAAAAAGAAAAUGAAGAAAAACUGAAGGCAUUCAGGAUUUAUCAAUCACAAGUUGAAGAGAGCACAGAGGUAAACCCUCUGGCCAGCAGUUGUGUGAACAGAACAGUAGCUGCAGAAGUGGAUGGUGAUUACUACGGAGGACCAGGACAAGCCAGCAGCCCACUUAGUUUUUUACAAUUAAAAACUCGCUGGAGUUCAGAUAAUUCUGAAACAGAGACUGAUGAUGGCUAUGAAGGGAACCAGACCAGUGAAGCUGGUUCAGGUUUAAAUUGUCUGAGAAACAAUGAUACCUCUGUUAGUGAUGGCAUGUGUAACAUUGCUAUGAAACAGUUUAAUUGCUCUCAGUGUGGAAAAGUAUUUGGUCAGAUACACUAUUCAAAGCAACACAACAUAAUUCAAGCAAGUGAGAAAGUCUUUAGCUGUCCAGAGUGUGACAACUGGA